ensembl:lncRNA
AUGCUGCGAGUCCAGGCUGCCAUGGACCGGGCCACGGUGAAGGAGCUCCACUUGUGUCUUGCUAAUGAACACCAAGAAUUGCUUCACAAAGUGCUACAGGAGCGCCGGGUCAAGAGCAGCACACCGAAAAAGCUUUCUGUUUCUUCAGAGCGUAUGGAGCAGUCAUUUAAAAAGAUAGAGCAGCUGGAGCGGAAGAUGUUGUCCCUGGAGGAGGAGACCGAGGGGCUGAGGGAAGAGAAAGAGAUGCUACUUGAGGCCAAGGAAGACUUGGCCCACAACUGCCGCAGACUGCAAGCCUCCCUGGAUCACGUGCAAACCCAGGAAGCUGUCCGUGAAGAGGCAGCCCGGGCCCGGGCCCUGGCCCAGGGGGGAGCGGCACCGCAGCGAGAUCGCGGCUUUGGAAGGCCGGCUGGCUGCCUCUCGGAAAGAGGCUACCAAGCUCCAUCAGCAGUUGCUGAAGCUGAGACAGGAUCUAGGGAUCCUCAGGGCGGCCAGGGACUUCCACAGGAACCGUGCGGCGGCAGCGGCAGCACCAGCGCGGGCAGCCGGGAUGCCGAGUAACAUCAGCUGCAAGGUCAAAUUCAAAACAACGAGGCUCAGAGGUCCGUUACACCAGCGCGGCCACCGAACAGUCGGCGCCAAUCAAGCCAUCAGCUGGCAAGGCCGCAGCCCCAGUCCCACUAAGGACGAGUGGGAGGAUAUGAGCGUCGAUAGGUAAUGAUACACACACACAGAUGCACUUAUUCUCUCAGGCACCCUCCUCAUUAUUUUUCUUGGUGUUAGGAGUGGAGCGGGUUGAAUUGUGGAGGGCGGGGGAGAGGGGGGGGGCACGAAGCAUCGAGGGGACAACGUGCAUAUGCAAAGCAUAAGCAAAUGGGUGAUUGAAUUUCAUCUUCUGUCUAGUUGGUAUUCAGAAGCCAAAAGAAGAAUGCAAGGAAGAAUGAUAGAGAGAAGGAGAGAAGGAAGGGGGGCGGGGGGGGGACUACUGUCAGAUCCUUUGAAAUAUCCUGGGAUGCCUUGCUUGGAGCUUAUUGACUGAAAUUUGCAUGCAAAAUUAGCCACCUCUCCACACAAAGUUGAACCGUUGCCAGGAAAGCCCGGGGAUAAGGGGGCCGCCCCAAAGCCCCGAUACCUUCCAGUGAUGCCAUUUUCAUGCACUAGUCACGCUACCUCGAAAUUGACAGUUUGGCAGUUUGAUUUAAUUUACUGGUCCUUUGCAUAUUCACAAGCCCCCCCCNNNNNNNNNNNNNNNNNNNNNNNNNNNNNNNNNNNNNNNNNNNNNNNNNNNNNNNNNNNNNNNNNNNNNNNNNNNNNNNNNNNNNNNNNNNNNNNNNNNNGGGAUCAUAGGGGGCGGUUGGAAGAAAUAAAACUAGCGCACACACACCCAUCAUCCACCCGUACACACACAACCAUACAUGUAUAGAAGGUAACACCAGCCUGCGUCUAGUCAUGUUGGAUAUCCCGUGGCAUGUAAAUUCACAAAUGUGUGUGUGUGUGUGUGUGUGUGUGUGUGUGUGUGUGUGUGUGUGCGCUAGUUUUAUUUCUUCCAACCGCCCCCUAUGAUCCCCUCCCGACACACAGAUACCAACACCACACACACACACCUUCAAUCUUACCCCCCUGACUCAUUCCUCUCCUCGCAUUUAGUUGGAUAAAUUUUGAAUGACCCUACUCGGCUCGGUACCAGAUGUCUACAAGCUGUUUAACACUCUCUAAAUUAAGAACCAUCGACAGUAAUUAUUUCAUCUAUGUUUUAUGCAAAAAAAAAAAAGCCACCGAGCCAACAUCUAUUGAGUGAUGGUCGGGCUGAUGUGGUAUCGCUGAUACUUCCCUCCACUCUCUCUCUCUCUCUCUCUCUCCGUGUCCGCUCGCUGUUUUUCCUGAUCUUUCUAACUCCCCAUUUCUUCACAGACUAAUUCAUCAGGCUGUAAUCCACCCCUUCUCAAUCCACAUGAGGCUGUUUAGCAGGGACCGGGUGCAGCUACGCCCCGCUUUCCUAAUGCCCCUCCAUGUGGCUAAUAAGCAGCCGUCUAAUGUAGGCUUUACCUGAGAGGAGGAUCUAAGUGGGUUUGUGCAGAACGGAGAUGUUGUCUUAUUUAAGGCACCUGUCAGCUGAUUUGUUACUGUAAAGCCUUCCGAUAUGUUGUCUUAUUAAAUGCGUCUGGCAGCUGAUUUGUUACCGUGGAGCCUUCUACGUGUCUUAUCUCACAGCGGUCUUCUUCAGCAGUAGUGCUGGUCGGCGCUCCCCGGAAAUACAGUAUUUCUGCCUAAGGAGGUUUGGCUUAAAUAGUGGCGAAUAAAGAUGUCCGACUCGUUAAGGAUACUGACAAGUCUUUGUUUUUUUCCCCCCUGUCCGUUUUAUAGCUGCCUCUGGCUCUCUCAGGUUUUGAGCUGCUGGAGGCAUCUGACCAUUUUGAGCAGAUCAGCAGUUCUGUUUCAGAGUCAGACAGAAUGAAAGCAGGUGGAGGAAUAUCGGUCCGAAACGUGUUGAAUUGUUGUGUGUUGUUCAGGAUUGUGUUAGAAUUACCUCUGGAAUACACUUCAUCACAACUUAUUGAGAAGAAAAGAAUUCAGAAAAGGGAAAAGCGACGCUUGGUGUCACUCUGUUCACUACUAAGCCAUCUAUGAGAGGACGUUUAUCAGGUGUUUUAAUGAUGGUGGCGUCUCAAGGUAGAGACAUGGUGGGUGCAGAGGAUUAUGAUUCCCUACAUUUUCAUACUCAUCACACCACGUGAGUCCCACAUCAACACCUCAUUCGCACAGUUUUUGCAUGC